rnacentral:rRNA from 1 species
CGAACGGGUGAGUAACACGUGGGUAACCUACCCCGAUGACCGGGACAACCCGAGGAAACUCGAGCUAAUACCGGAUGUGCUCCUUGACCGUGAGGUCAAGGCGUAAAGAUAGCUUCGGCCUUCGCAUCGGGACGGGCCCGCGGCCCAUUAGCUUGUUGGUGGGGUAACGGCCUACCAAGGCGACGAUGGGUAGCUGGUCUGAGAGGACGAUCAGCCACACUGGGACUGAGACACGGCCCAG